UUCUUAGGCUGGAGGGCGGGAGGCCUCCCUGAGCCAAGGGUAGGACCCAGUUGGCUCUCAUAGGUCAGGUGCCCCGAAUGAAGCUCAAACGUCAUGCUGUUAACUCCCCGAACUCUUGGCAGAGUGCAGCUUUCUGUUUUGAAAGUAAUGGCCCCAUGUCUCUCAUGAACAAGUCCUGUUAGAGAUCAAAGCAAUCUUUCAUAACCUUGUUUUGAUGAGUUAAGGGAAAAUGAAGCAGAAACAUGAGGAUUAAGUGUCCCUUAAAACUCCCCUUGGGAUGUAAAUACUGGGAAGAAUGUGUUGGGCCAAACCAUGUGUCAGACCCCAAACAUGGAGAAGCAGAGCAAGGCUUCUGACAAAUUGAGGGGCCUGUGACCUACGCAAUGUCCCCGGCGGGGAGGACAGAGCAGAUCGCGAAUAAAGAGAUGACAAGAAUUCCACAAACAAUGGCAGCCAGUGGAACCUAAUAUGUAAGAGAGGAUUUGGGUGGUUCAGGGUGAAAUUAAAUCAUCUGUGUAGAUUCCCACAUCCCCAUCCUCGAAGCCGGUUGGAGAUGAUCUGAUCUCCCAACACUGCCGGGCUCAAGGCUGCCUGCGGCAAUUCCUGUGCCUUUUUAGCUCCAUCCAAAAUAAACCUUCUGGGAGAAGUGCUGUAGCCUCUGCUCCAGGAGAGAUAAGUUUCAUGCUUGUUUGCUUUCUUGUUUGUUUUUAAAGACUACUGAAGGCAGGCUGAAUGAAGACUUUCCAGUGGUACUUUAUUGGGGUUCCCUUUUCUUGAUUUCUGGGUUUUCAUGCCUGGUACAAACCCGCUGAUGUGUGAAUCUAGCAAACAGUCUCUCUCCACAGUUUAGAACCUUCACCAGUAAAAUUUGGGACUUUCUGUAGGCUGAACUAAAAUCUGCAGUGCUCUUUCGGUAGUCUUGUCUCCUGGAAUCAGAGCAUAUUUGAAUUAUUGGGCCCUAACUCACACCUCGUGGUACAUUGUAAUGCAUCUUCAAAGGCACUAUGGACCUGAUUGUUCCCCACCCUGGGCCUGGGGUUGGAGAGGGUGCAGGGCUGGGCAGCACAAGGGGCAUCUGGAGCCUCUGGGCCUCAUCCACAAGCUUUACGGGAUGUGCCAGCAGAAGGGCCACUUUCUAAGCUCCUGCGUGGUGGUAGAAACUCUGUUAGGUAGGUCAGGACCAGGAGAGUCCCAAGGAAGUUGGGGA